AGUUGAAGCCAUUGUGACGUGCGUGUGUCUAUGUGUGGAGUGACGCGUGCUACCUGUUACUGUAUACGGCUAGAACUACCGCGUUUUCUCGCGAUAGUGGUACAGUAUCGCGAUAGCUACACUUCGAAAACCACUAGUUUACAAUGUUCAUUGCUUACGGCCUGUUCUAUUAAGCGGAGAUCUGUUCUACUAAGCGGAGUAUCUUUAUAGGAAAUUGCAUUAGGCAAAUCUGUUCCAGAGCCUUUUGCUCUAUUAAGCGGAUUACUCUAUUAACCGGUGUUCUAUUAAGCGGAGUGCACUGUAUUGUCAUACCUUGUAAAUUCAUUUAAAGGUACUGAAGUCAAUGUCGCAGUGGUGGAACUCCUGACAAAGACCAUGUUUGUCAACGAUGUCAUGAAGAUGUCUCACCUCGGACAGACCAGUGGCGUGGACGCUUUUCACAGUGUGGUGAAUCACUUUGCCCCAAAGAUGUACCACUUCUCGUACAAAGGAUGAAAAGCAGGUGUCACUGAACAGACCAGACCGGACAAGUCAAUAGUUAUUGCCCAGCACCAGACUAGAUUCCUCGGGAAAUAAAAAAAAAUACAUUCCCUGUA